rnacentral:lncRNA from 1 species
CCACUGCUGCCACCACAGGCCACCUGGAGCCCCAGCCAGUUUGAGGAAAGUGGCUCUGCUUGAUUUUCCUUUUUUCUUUUUUUUUCCUCUUUUUUUCUCCAUUUCUGACUUCAGCAGGUGGGACUUGGAGCUUCUGCUUCUGCAGCCACAGAAGACUCCCCAGUUUGGAGGGCUGUGGUUGUGGGCUCCCUAAGCAUCUCUCUGCAGAGCCUCUUUGUUUUCCAUUUUACCCACCAUGUCAAUAAUUUAACACAGUGGCGGAGGAGUUCAUGUCUCUUCCUAUUUGUCAUUACUCUUCUAACUUUCACAGCUGUACUCGGCUACUGGUCAGAAUAAGAGAAAAAGCAGUGGAACCAGGAGGAUCCUACAAGAAAUAUUCCAUUUCACUUUUGUUUGUGCAUAUACCUUUUCUGUUUAAAUGUGGACUUCGAUUUGAUAUGCUUCCAGUGCAGACACAGAUCCCAUAUGUAAGAGAGUAUGGAGUUGCAUAGAAAGAAGACUUGUCAUUUUCCUGUACUGUUGGUGUUCUAAUCUGUCUUCGUGGUUUUUGCCUCUUCUGGCUUUAGAAGAUACACCAACAUGGUUUUGCAACAUAGCCUCUUCUUAUUUUAGUAAGGGACCAAAUGUGCAUGUCAGUAACAGGUGUUACCUUGAAUUGGGAUCAGUGCUUGUGUGACUAUAUUCAGUGAUGUCAUUUUCUGUCACACUCAAGUCACAAAAUAUUUAACCACUUAUUUUUUUAUCUCUGGAGGAAUAAUCCAAAAGAUUGUACUGGUAAAGCCAGAACAAUUUCCAAUUAUGCUAAUUAUUUGUAUAAUACUUAGUUGGCUUUAUCUGUGGUUUGUUGGCUUAUUUUCCUGUAGCUUUUCAAGGUUUUUCUAUGAGUUCUGUUAAAGAGUCUGAAAAUGGAGCGUAGAAGACAUGCUUCGAUUUCCAGGAUGGUUGUGUUUUCCAGAGAGGCGGAGGUAAACCACUGGCGCAGCCCUGCCUCCCACAGAUAAUUCCGGGUGCAGUGUUUCAUAUCUAGACUUGGACUUCUAUCCUACCAUACUUCUUUGUGUGCAGUUCAUUGUGGAACCAGCACAGAUUUUCAUACGAAAGUUAUUUCUUUUUAACCUCAAAAAGUGACAGAAUGGAGUGUAUCAUGAAAAAGUCUGACAUCAAAACCUCAAAAUGUGAUAUUGAUUGGGUGAGAUAGAAUUCCAUGGAAUUUCAUUGCCAAACCAGUGAAGUGCUAAUUUUGACAUUUGUACCAGCUAACGUAGCUGUGAAGAAACACACCAAUACACUUCUAAGGACAGCAUAGACCAAGAUCUAGGUUUCAUAUGGAUGAAUUUAUUCUUCCCUUUGAGGCAAGACAAGAAGGAAAGAAAGUAUUGGGAAUAAUGCUGCCCUCCCAUCCUCAAGGGCCAGUGGGAACUCUAAUAUUGAUUGGGUGAGAUACAAUUCCAUGGAAUUUUACCACUGAACCAGUGGAGGGCUAAUUUUGUCAUUUGUACCAGUUAACUAACUUGGGAGGAAACAGAACAACACACUCCUGAGAUUGGUUUUCACAGAAUUCCAUGGACUUUAACUGCUGAACCAAUGAUGCACUGAUUUUGUCACUUGUACCAGCUAACGCAUCUGGGAGGCAACAAAACAAUACUCUCCUGAGGUUAAUGUGGACCAAAAACUAGAUUUCAUAUAAAAGAGUUUAUUCCUUCUACUUGAGGUGUGACAUGAAGGAAAGUAAUGGAAAUAAUUCUGCCCUCCCAUUCUCAAGGGCCAGGGGGAAUUCAAAUAUUGAACGGAAGUGAUUUUGGAAUUGCAUGGAAUUCUCACUGCCAUCCCAAAGAAAUGCUGAUCUUGUCACUCUUACCUGUUUCAUUCCCUGGGGGCAGAACAAAAGGACGCACUCCAAAGAUCGGCAUGAACCAAGAACUGGGUUUCAUAUAAAAUAUUUUAUUCUGUCCUCUUGAGAUGUGACAUGAGAAAAGUAUUGAGAAUACUUCUAUCACCUCAUCUUCAAGAAUCCGUAGGAAUUCUCCCAUGGUGGACUUUACGGUUAACCUGAACAGGUCUUGGAAAAAGGACUUUAAACAUUCUCCUGUUCUGUGGAAUAAGUAUACUUUUUUCUGGACAUACACCUUGUCAGUGAGUUCCAUGUGAUACUAGAGUUGCAUAGAUUUUUAACCUUUACGCCAAUGAAGAUCUGAGGCAAACAUUGCCCCUUUUUUAGAAGUUUGCAUUUGUCACUGAUAACUGUAAUAAUUGAUCUUGUUGAAAAGCCUGGGAAAUGAAGAUCUGAUAUGUCACUUUUACCGGCUUCCUCAACUGAAAAAGAAUACAAUGAAACACGCUGAGAAUUUUUGUGCUUUCUCAGUCUUGCUGAUGAUCUUUCUAUGGGCCUGAAGCGUGGAGAGUGCCAGAGAGGCUGAUCCUCAGCAGUGUGGCAGAGGAAAGUUGGGUGCGACUAAGGGGUAUGCGGUGCCCACAUGCCACUGGGUCCUCAGCAGUACCACCUGAUUGGAAGUGAUAUUGGUGGAAGACAACAUUUUGCCGCUUGGAAUUCUCACCUCCACACCAAAGAAGUACUGUUUUUGUCAUUUGCACCAGCUUCUUUCUCCAGGAAAGAUCAAAACGAUGCACUGCAAGUGUGAUUGGUCCAGAUAGCUGCCUUAUCCAACUGCCUCCUUUGGACCACUUCAUCAUGGGACAGCUUGAUGCAAUCUACUUGACAAGACCCUGGAACCCCACACCCCUCAUGGAACCAGUGUCCACCUCCCAGUCACAGUGUGACCCCAGGGAACUCUUGCCUGCUUGCUUUAAACCCACCACUUAAAAGUCUCCACAGAAAACCUGUUUGAAUAGUACCCUUGACCCAAUAAGGGCAUUGGCCCCUGGGUGUCUCUCUCUCUCUCUCUCUCUCUCUCUCCCUCUCUCUCCCUCUCUCUCUCUCGCUCCCUGACCUCUGCGUGUGGACUCCAGGCAUGCCAUAUACCCCUCAGGACCUGAAGCAAAAGAAUGAAUUAAAGAAAACUCCAGAGAAUGAGCUGACAACCUACUCCCUGGUCAGUGGCUCUCCAUGCCUACCUGUGGUCUCUUGGACACCCUUGCAGAAGAUGACUUCCUGGGAACUCUUCUGGGAGUGAAUGUUAUCAGCAAAUUCCCAAAACAACACCCCUUAGACAAAAAGCCUCCUCACCUAUGCAUUGCCUAGACCACCCACUAAAGGUGAUGGCCACAAAGAGGUGGAUUUGUUGAGUUGGUGCCAUUCCUUCUACUGCCAGCUUCACCAAAACAAUGACACAGUCUUCCUUCCGCAUGGAGACUCUUCUCUUUCCUGUGUUGCAGUGGAUGCCUCCUGCAGAUAAGAAAUGCUUAACUGAGAAAUGCUCAUGUUGGGAUAUCAUCGAUGAGACUUUAAUUUGGGCAUGGUGACUGUUUCCCUUGCUGCCACUUGACUCAAUCCCAGGAGCCUCAGUAGAGGAUAUAAUAUUACACAAGAUGCUCAAAAUGGUGGAAUUGCUCAGUGCUCCCAUAAAUAUACAUUUAUAAUUUUCAUUUGCCACAUGGUAAACUGAAAAAUACAGACUAUAUUAAAAAGAAACUGCAUGAUUUUUUUUCAAAAAUUCAAAGCAUAUUUAAAUAAUAUAUAAAUUAAAUGCCCUCCUCUCUUCCAAUUCUGUCCCUAUAGUUUUCCUCUAUUAAGUGAACUACAUGCAUUCUUUUAGUGGAUAGAUGCACACAAACACACAAGCCAUUAUGGGGAAGGAUCCACGUGUGUGGCCAUAUUGUAACACAUUUUUCUGCAAAUCACCUCUUUCAUUUAACAGCCCUUAUUCAAUGGCCUUUUUCUUUUUCAGUAGUACAUACACAUCUGUGUCAUUUGUUGAAUGACGACAUGAAUGUUUUGUAGAUAAAAUAUAAUUAAAUGUUUUAAGCAUUUCUCACUCAUAGAUAUUUAUGUUAGCACCAAAUUUCUGUGCAAUGAACCUCCCUAUAUAUCAGUAAUUUUGCAUUUGUCUAUAAUAUCAUAAUAAAUUACUUAUCAGUUGAAUUACUGGGAUUAAGUAUGUGCACACUUUAUAUUUAUAUUUUGAAAAUUAUUGCAAGAUUGCCUUCAAAAAUGUGGUUAACAACUUUAUCUUCAAAUGGCAAUGAAUGAGAUUGCCAGCUUUCCUACAGCCUCACAGACAAUGGAUUUUAUAAAUAUUUAACAUUUUUGCCAAUGUGAUCACCCAAACUAUUGUCUUAAAUUGUAUCUCUUUUGUUUUUGAGUUUGGUCAUUUUUUCAUGUUUAUUAGCCAUCUGUAUUUUUUAAUUUCUUCUUUAUGUCCAAUUUUGUGGGUGGGAGGAGGAUUUAGUCUCUUCCUGAUUUCGAAGAGCUCAUUUACUAUUUCGGGAAAUAAGAUUUGGAUUGUCAACCAUUAUAGCUAUUUUUUACACACUUUUCAACUUUGUUUUUGUUAUAAGAAUGUGUAUGAUUGUUACAUGUCCAAGUAUAACCAUGUUCGCUUUUAUGGCUUCUGAGUUUCAUGUCAUUUUUGGAAAGAUAUAUAUAUUGAGUCCAUAAAACCCUUCACCUAUGUUAAAUUCUAAUUCUUUUGUGUUUUUUUAAUUCAAAUUCUUAAAUCAUGAGAAAUUUUUUUGUUUUGAAAUCUUAAAGUUGCCAAGUUACUUGCCAUUACUUGCGAUUAUUUGCCAAUAAUUGCCCAUUUAUCUGUACCGCCAUCUUGCGCAUAUGCUGUACUCUCAUCUGUGACUGGCUCCAUUUUUGUUCUGUGGAUUUGUGUGUCUCUUCUUCUGCCUCCUGUCUCGUGUCUGCUCGUUGGAAGAAAUUACAGUUUAGACUGCAAUUUCAUCAACUUUAAUAAAUCAAUUGAGGGGAGAAUUGGUUUUUAAAAAUAUUAAGUAAGUCUUCGUAUCCAAGGACAAGGUAUGUCUUUUCUUAUUCAAUAAUUUUAAUUACUGUUAAUAUUUUCACUGUGGUGAUGGGAGUUUUUCUUUUAAUUUAUUUUCUUGUUCAUUUUUUGUAUCUAAAGUUUUUGUUUUGUUUUGUUUUGGGGGUAAGUUGUCACCUUACUGUUUCUUGUUGCUUUUCAGAUUUUUUCAAAGUAUAGACUAAAUCCUUCACAAAUAUUUAAAGUUUUUAUUUUCCCCCUUCAUAUUGAUCCUGAUUUUAGUUAUGUUGACAAAGUCCACAGACUGUUACUAUCAGAACACUUGAACAGUUAUGGAAAUAUUACCUACCCUUGAUUUAAUCAGAGUUUAAUGGUAUGCUUCUUUGGUUUGACUGGCACAUUGUCGCUGGUCAUUUCCUCCCAAAGACCACCAGAAAGAGCUAUGAUCAAGCAAAGCUGAGUUUGUUAAACUUACCUGCAGCAAGGGAAAACACCACCUUGAUAGGGUUUAAUAAUGUUUCAAAAUCAAGAAAUGAGGCUUUGGGGUCUGGGCAGGGAACUAAUUAGAAAUGGGCAAAAUUUGUCAUGCAAUACCUUGUGGGAAAGUGAGAUGAGGUUCUUAAUGUGAGUAUUGAUGGUGAAAUCAUUUUCUAGGUGAGCUGUUUGCCUAUAUAAAGAUGUUAUCAAUGACAGAAGAACUAUUUGCCUAGAUAAACAAACUGAAUUUAUUUAUUGGUUUACAGUUUUAUCUUGCUGGGCAGGACUCUGCUGGGGGUGGUAUCAGGUCUUAUUCCCAAUAGGUAAGUUAUUUGGAUAUGGGUGGUCUUAAUCAUCAAUGUGUAAAAUGCUGAUUUUAAGUGCGAAAUACUUUGUCUACC